GCCAAUAAGAGUUGCUGACACAUUGACCAGGAGACAUGAAAGAAAGGGAUGCAUGAAAUAGGACGGCAAAGGUAUUUAGUCUGAGCAACUGGAAGGAUGGAGUUGACCUGGCCAGAGAUCCUGAGAUAGUGGGGCCUGUGGCUCUGGAAGACGCUGACCUUGUGUCAGAGGCAUUAUCCUCGGAGCCCAGUGCCUCUGUUUAGAGAACUCCGGAGGAGCCCAGAAUGUGCUCAGCCACAUUCUUCUGGAUGAGGAAGCAUCUGUUCCAGAGAAUGAGUGUUUCAAGGUUGACUUCCUGAAAAUGCUAUGCAGUUGGCUUCCUUUUAAGAGAUUGGACACCUAGCAUCUUAUACUCUCUAGAAUUUCUGAGCCUCCACGUACUCCGAUCUCGCAAGCCCCGGGCUGGAGCGCUCCCUUAUGAUUCACUCUGAUUUAGGCUGGCGUGCCAAACUUUCUAGGACUUUUGUGGGCUCCCUGGCCUACUCUGGCAUCAAAGCCUCCGACGCCUCUUUCCCCUCCGAUGACCUUACAGAUCUGACAAAUGCCAAGGACUUUGUCUACGCUAGAUCUGGUGUAGAGUCCAUCCCAGCUGCUCAGAGUGGUGGAAACAAAUUGGCUGCAUCUCCAGAAGCCCCUAGGGGAUCAGGUUUGAGACAGCACAUUUCUCUCCAACCUGUCCCUGGAUCAAGAAUCCUGGUGCUGAAGUGCUCAGUCAUCUUGAGGACCUUGUUGAACACAGGGAGGCUGUACAGUAUGACAACCUCCCCUCCCCUUGCGGCUCACUGCCAUGUGGCAUGCUUCUGCAAGGUUACAUAAACUUUCUUUAUUUAAAGUCUCCACUCUUCCCUCGGAGAAUGAAUGGACUUCCGGGCCUGCCUGUGGGGCAGGAGCUUUAGAUAUUGUGCUGCUCAGAGGGGGAGAGAGGGCUGGACUGAGUCCCAGGAGCUCCUGGAGACUACACCCGCCCUGUCUGGUCCUGGGAAUCCAGACCCUCCUGCAGGGAGGACAGGAGGUGACCUUCCAUUCCUCUGGGCUGGGCUGCAGGCCACCUGGUCACAGGCUUCUUGAAUACUGUCAGGGAGAUUUUUCAUUUAUCCUAGUUAAAUUUCACCUUGUUGGUUUUAAGCCAGCAUUUCCAGAGUGGUAUGGGAUUCUUCUGGUUCUUCCAACAGGCCAGUCACUUUCCCAGCCCCCUGGACACUCCUUACCUUUGGAGUCACACUUCCCCAGGGCAUUGAUCUAUUCCAUUCAUUCAUUCAACAAGCCUUCAAUGAACAACCAUGAGACUCUCCAUACAGGGCUAGGCACUGAGAUCCAGAGGUAGCGCCUGGUAGUGCAUGGUGACAGUGUAGACAGAUGACCACACACAGAAGCAGAUCGUCUCUCUCUAGCAUGGUAUAAGUAUGCCAAGGAAUUAAGGGGGCACAGAGGGCACGUGGAAGACAAGGAUGUCUUCAUGAGGAAGAUAACAUUUUAUUUAUUAUCUGAAUCUCAAAGUGUGAGAAGGGAGGAGUGGGCUGGGGGUGUCCAGGCAGAGACAACAGACCGAACAUAAACCUGGAGUCUGGAAAUAGCAGGGCCAGGGAUGCUUUCGAAGCCAACUUCUAGGGGCUGUAUUAUGAGGUUCAAAGCAGAGAGUGUGGGGGGCUGGGGUUGGAGAAGCCUUUGGGGCAAGGUCAUAGUAGAGCAUGGGGAGCCAGGGCCUCACCCCGGGUAGGGAAGCUGGUGGAGAGGAUGGAAGGUUUCAGAUUGAAGAGAGAGUGACCUGAUCAGUCUGCCAACUUGACACUGUCCAUUAAUAGCAGCUGUUGUGGCUUUUCCAUGGCUGUGGGUUCUUUCUUUUCUUUUCUCUCUUUUUUUAAGAUCUUAUUUAUUUAUUUGAGAGAGAGUGUGUAUACAUGAGCGGGGCGUAGGGCAGAGGGAGAGGGAGAAGCAGGCUCUCUGCUGAGCAGGGAGCCCCUGACACUCCAUCCCUGACCCUGGGAUCAUGACCUGAGUCGAAGGCAGACACUUAACCGACUGAGCCACCCAGGCCCCCUGUGGCUCUGGGUUCUUCUUUUGGUUCUGGGUUCUAAAUAGCUCUGGGAAGGUAGGCUGCCAUAAGAACUGGACAGUGUUGGGAGCCACUCAGCUGCAAAAUCUGGGGGAAGGAGAGAAGUCUUCUAAGACAGAAAAGUCUGGAUUUAGAUGCCUCACUAUUAGAGUUCUGAUAAGGUACGGAACCCACCUGAGCCUCGGCUGCCACGUAUGCAGAAUGGAGCCAUCCAAUACUGAUGGCCAAGUGGCAGGGAGCAAGUGAGAGAGCCUAUAUGAGAACUAUCGGGGCGGGGGACUGGAGCUCAGGCUAAGACUGUAACUGGGGGGACCAGAGCCCCCUGGCUGCCAUCUCCAUUGCUGCCUGAGCGGCAGGCUGUGAUAUCCCUCCUCGAGGGAGGUCUGAUAACAGAGCCUAGAGAGCUAUCCCCACCAUAAACAGUCAGGCCGGGGGUGUCUCCUGAUCUGAUACCUUGGCCCUGUGUGCCCCGCGGCCCACCAGUUCUCUGGCCCCAGAGCAGGGGUGGGGACGAGAGGGGUCUGCUUGGCUUCCGGCAGGCCUCACAGUUGUGCAAGGCUGCCUGAUUCCAAACAAACUGUUAACCUACCGCCUCCCUGGCAAUUCCAAGCAUUCUGGCCAGCAGGUGGCCAGGCUGCCGCUGGUCUGGGCAGCCAGGGCUCAGGUCACAGGCCAGGCAGGUCUGGCUGACCAACGGUAAGUCUAGUUUCACAGUGUCUGGCUCUGGCAUAGCAGGGUCCCUGGUGGAAUGGAAGGAGCUCUGGGCAGGGAGUCAGGGGUUCUAGGUUCUAGUCCCAAUUCCCCCAUCAACUCACUGUGUGACCUGGGGUAAGUUCCUUGCCCUCUCGGGGCCAUAGUCACCUUAGCUGAGCCUCGGACAUUUGGUAGUGAUGGUCCAGGAUGCCUUCCACUGUGGAGUGCUGGGAGUUUGGGCUACUGUGACCUGAGCCCUUGGAAAGAUUGUGAGGCCUUUCCCCAGACUCAGAGCAAGGGCCAUACCGCCCCUCCUCAUUUAUUCUGUAUCAGUUCCAGCUCCAAAGAGCAAACCACAGGCAUGAGAAGAACUCUGGUCAUGUGUGACCCGCAUAAGAGCAAGGAAGAGCUUCUUGGAUGUUUUGGUUGCUUCCAGGUGCUGCUUCAUUCAUUAUUUAAUAUAUUCUUUCAUUCAACGAAAUUGAAGAAUGAAUUCAUUCAUCCUUUCUUCAUUCACUUGGUUAACAAUAUUAAGGGGCACCAUUAAAUGUCAGACACCAUGCUAGGACCUGGGAUUUACUAGUGAGACAGAUGUGCAGAGAGUCCUUGGCCUUACAGGAGCUCUUGGGCUGGCCUGGCCUACUUUUUCUUGAGAAGCUGGAAUACAGCAGGCCCAAUUCAGAUACAGUAGUAUCUGAAGAGUCAUCCCUGAGAGCCCCAAGACCCAGUGGGAUUCUGUCCACCCUAAUUGUGUAGAACCCUGUCCUAACCACUGAAGGGGAAGUGGAAAAGAGAGUAAAUAUGUCUCUGCUCCAGGAAGCCCCCAUGCUGUGCCAAUACCCAGCCCUGACUUCUGGAGCUGGCUCCUCAGGGGACCCAUGGGAGCCAUGCAUCAGGAAGUGCGAUGCCAGCCCCUGUCCUGGAGGGUUCUAGGGUGAGGACAACCAGCAGGUCCCAAGAAGCAGGGAGUAUUUCUCUGGGCUGCUGCUUCUGCUUAUGGAUAAUACAAUGUUCAGUAAGAAGGAGUUGAAGAAUGGGGGCUAGACAUGGCCCCAUCACACUUUGGGUCUGGGGAAACUGUCUGUGGAAGUGGUCAUGUCCUGGGGAAGAUUCUGGGUCCUUCCAGAACUUGAGAAGGUGGAGAGGGGCUGCCUUGCUUAGCACCACAUGAGGAGCUGACCCCCUGGUGUACUCUCCAGCACAAGCCUGCCCUGGAACCUAGCAAAGGCCAAGAUGGUAUCAGAACAGAGGCCCGUUCAUGGGGGACCUGGCCCAUGGAGGAGUGGUGGCCUACCUUCCACAGGGGUGAUGGCUCCCUGGGCCAUGCCGUCCUCCUGGCCUUCUAGGCUCCUAGGGAAGGGAUGCAGAAGUUCAGGAGAGGUGCCAUGCUCUGCUUCCUCCAAACUUCUUGCACUGGGCUCUUGCCAGAGUUCAAACAGGCAAACAUUGACAAGACUCCUUUUUUUUCUGUCCCUUACCUUUCAAUAAUCUCCAUUUUGUUUAGAUCCCUGUUGAGCUUGGCCUUUUGGGUAAU